CUUUUCACAAAGCUGCGCUACUUUCUGUUCUUGAAGAAUACCCAACAACUUCUUCUAUUCUUAAAAAUUCUUUUACGCGUAUUUUUUUUUUUCAAAUUUUUAUCUCAUAAGUAGAAAGUGAAUAUAAAGAUUGAAGCUUGAUAAGUGAAAGCUGGCAAUGCAAGAUUAUUAAUAUUUUGAAAGGUAAUUUUUGGUGUUUUUAUUUUUUUUAUUUUAGCUAUCUUAAAUAAUUUUAAUUUUAUACAAGAAUUUAAAAGUGAGCAUGACAUGAAAAUUAUUUUUUUUUACUUAUUUUUUUCUAUCUGAAUUUCAAAUGAAAAGGGCAAUAGAUGAUGUUGAAGAUUUGGAGGCUCAACCUCAAGUAGAAGAAACUCUAACUGCACUAGCACCUUAUGCAACUCAAGAACAUGGCAGUGUUUCAAAUAUUAUUUCAAUACCCAAUCCUCUAAAAAAAUAGAAAAGAACAACUUCGUUUCUUCGAAAUUUCAGCCUCGACGGUAACGGUAGAAAAACAUCAGAAGUUUGAAAUCAUUAUUUAGAGAUUACUAAUUUAGUAAGUGAAUUAAGGUCAAAAUGUAAGUAUUGCCUUAAAGACUUUUCUUGCGCUAGUAAACAUGGAACUUCUAAUCUUUGGGGUCAUUUACAAUCUAAGUGUUCGAAAUAUCCUUUCAAGUCCAUUGAUAGAAAGCAAACAACUCUCAAACCAAUUAAAGGAGGGGGGCAGGAAGGUUUUGAGAAGCUUGUUUAUAAUGUUGAUGAAGUUAUGAGAGCUAUUGCUGAGUUUGUUAUAAUUGAUGAACAACCUUUUAGAGUCAUUGAGGGUGAAGGCUUUAAGAGACUAAUGUCGCUUAUUUUGUCUAAUUAUGAAUUGCCUUUUCGAAUUACUAUUGCUCGACAAUGUUUAAGAAUUUAUCAAGAAGUGAAACAAAAGCUUAAAAGAUUUAUUAAUGGGCAGUGUGUUUGUAUUACUAGUGAUACGUGGUCUUUACUUCAAAAUUUUACGUAUAUGGUAAUCACUGCCUAUUGGAUUGACGAUCACUGGAAGUUGCAAAUAUUUUUUUUCAAACUCCAGAUCACAAGGGUGAGACCAUUGCGUAAGCUGUUGAAUCUUGUUUGUUAGAUUGGGAAAUUGAAAAUCUAUUUAAAGUUACACUUGAAAAUGCCUCGGCUAAUGAUGCAGCAAUCACAUACUUGAAAGUAAAAAUUAGUGAUUGAAAAGGAAUUAUCAUAGGAAAUAAUUUUCAACAUGUUCGGUGCAAUGCUCACAUCCUAAACUUGAUUGUAAAAGAAGGAUUGAGUGACCAAAAUCAGUCCAUUUCUCGGGUAAGAAAUGUUGUGAAAUAUGUUAAAUCUUCUUGUGUUAAAGCUGCUUCUUUCAAGUCAUAUUUUGAGAAGGUUAAACUUGACACUAAUGGACUUUUGAGUUUAGAUGUUGAGAUAAGGUGGAACUCUAUAUAUUUAAUAUUAAAUAAUGCUGUAAAAUUUGAAAAGGCAUUUUCAAGAAUGAAUAUUGAUGAUCAUAAGUACUUUAAAUACUGUCUUGACUCAAAAGGAAAGAUAGAACAUCCUUCUUCGAAAGAUUGGAAGGAUGUGAAUAUCUUUCUCAAGUUUUUGGAGAUUUUAUAUCAAACCACAUUGAAGUUUUUCAGUACUUUGCAAGUUACUUCAAAUACUUUCUUUCAUGAACUUUUUAAUCUCCAGAGCAUAAUUGUCAACUAUUUAAAAUGUGAUGAUUCUAUUUUAAUUGAUAUGGCUAAGAAGAUGAAAGUCAAGUUUGAUAGAUAAUGGGGUGAUUUUAGUGAUAUGAAUAUGUUGUUGUUUGUUGCCGUUGUGUUGGAUCCUCGCUACAAAAUAAAGUAUGUUGAGUUUCUUUUUAAGAAAUAUUAUAAUUCUAUGGAGGGAUGUGCUAAGUCUGAUAAAGUACGAGAUACUUUAACUAGCUUGUAUGCUAAUUACAAGAGUUCUAUUUCUGAAACUUCUUGUGAAAGUAUUGGAGAUUAAAUUAGUGUGAUUAGUGGAUUUGAUGCAAUGAAUAGUUCUAAUAUGUGGCAAUCACAAUGGGAGAAAUAUCUUGAAAAAGAGAAUGAUGUUGAUGAUAAAUCUGAUCUUGACAAGUAUUUGAAGGAUGGUGUGGAAACAACUAAGAAUUUUAAUAUUUUGACUUGGUGGAAAGCUUCAUCCGAAAAAUAUCCAACUGUUUCUCAAAUUGCAAGAGAUUUGCUUCCUAUUCCUACAUCUACUAUUGCUUUAGAAUAAGUUUUUAGCACCGGUGGUCGAAUUCUUGAUUGUUAUCAAAGUUCUUUAUCACCAAAGACUGCUGAAGCUCUUAUUUGUGGUCAACAAUGGUUAUGUUCAACAUCUAAAGAGUGCAAGAUUGAAGAUCUUUUAGAUGAAAUUCAAAAGCUUGAAACAAUUGAAAAAGAAUAUUCGGACUUUACUUUGAGCAUUGAUUAGUUUGGAGAUCAAGAUAAAGAAUAUGCUGGAAGUUGGCUGGUCUUUUUGCUGAAAUUUAAUUGUUGUUUUAUACUUAAAGUGGCUGGGAUUUGGAUGGUGUGUUUGCUGGAAUCCAGUUGCUAUUUUUGGUGAAAAGUGGCUUCAACUUGAGUGUUGUUUUUGUUAGAUUUUUAUUGAUGUUUUCGCUGGAAAUGCAACUAUUGUAGUGUUGUUUUUGUUGAAAUUUUGGUUAAUGUUUUCGCUGGAAAUUCAACUAUUGUAAUGUCUUUCUUUCAAUGGUUUAAAUAGAUUUUAGUUGAUGUUUUUGGUUGA